rnacentral:lncRNA from 1 species
CAACCAGCUAAUCCAAUACAAAAAGAUUCCAGGUGCAGCAGGACAGGAGGAGAGGAAAUGAGUGUAAGAAUAGCAGAUGUGAAAAAGAAGCAGUGGCUUUGCUGGAAGACUUUGAGGAAGCGACUCUGCACCACAGAUUUACUGAGUCACUGACAGACGCAAAGCCUGGCAGAUGCAGCCAGAACAUUGCAGAUCAUAGUGGCUUUGAAGCCUAUUUGGACAGAAGCUGGAGGCUUGUUGGUAGGAGGGAAGCCACAAGUCAGACAGAGUCAUAUAAUUCCGGUGCAGGGAUGUUAAGGUGGGAGAAAUUGGCUGACUGGCUUCACUAGCUUAAUUUAAACGUGCAUUUGAGGCUUUUUAUAUUGAUUGUACUUUAGUCUAGAAAGAGCUUCAUUCCAGCCAAUUAAUACUGCAAUUGAGUCAUAAGGCUCUUAGCUCUGCAUACUAUUUUUCUUUCAAGCCCAACUGUCUCCACUGGACAGGUGUGUUUUUUUUCCAAUCCCCCCUUCCAAAAUAAUUAGGGUUUCUAACUUGCAGAGGUUAAUUGCCAAAGAUCACUAGUAGUGCUUGUUCUUGUAGAAUGGCAGUGGUGCCCACCUGAGAGGUGCCGGAGCUGAGCUCCAGCUGAAAAAAACCUUGGUCACUAGGUACAUUUUCUGUAGGUUGGUGGGUGAAAACCUUUCACAACAGAGUUGAUAUUCCUUGUUUCUGCUCCCCUCCCUCCCUUCUGUUCUCUCCAUGUCAGUCUCAAACGGCACAUAACAAAAAGAUGCUACACUUCAGGAGGGCCACAAAUACAAUAAACAAUGUACUAGAUAUUUAACAACUUUUCCAGAAUAGAUGGUUUGUUGGAUAUCCCAUUAGUGACACAUGGCUAAGAUUGAUCCACACAGGAAUAACAUACUUUCUAUUUCUGGAAAGUCUACUAUGAUAAAUCUGCAGGGUAUUUAUAGUCCCUAUUUCUGAAACAUCCUCUCUGACCUCUGAGCACUUUAUAGUGCAAAGGGAAUAAAUCUAGAAUGAAACUUAGACUGGGAAUUAUCCAUCUUUUCCCACAGAGAAAAACCUAUAUAAAACUUUCCUCCUUUACCAUUUUUACCACCCUAGAUCACAAAGUAUAUUCAUCUGCUGGUUAUGAUUGGCCAGAGACCCCUUGCAAGCUCGCUGGACUACAGUGGGGAAAUUGUCCCAUGAACAGCUCACUAUCUGUACAUUUUGUCUUUUAAUGUUCUUCAAUUUAGCCCUGUCCUAAAACCACCCUCUGUGUUAGAGCUACCACCCAUCAGGGUGUCUCUUUCGAGACUUUCCUAUAACUGUCCUCCUCUCAGUCCCUUUCCCCCCAAGAGACUGCUUCACACCAAUCUGGUUCAGUCUGUUGAGUAUCACUCUUCCUGGAUUGCUAUUUCUCUCUUUCAAGCCUGCGCCAACUCUGAGGAUGUUCGCCUUCAGUCACAGGAAGUCCUCCAAGCAGAAGCUCUAAGAUGAGUGAGUACAAAUUGCCAAUCUGGGCUGACUUCUCCCUUCCUCUCCUUACACCACAAUCCCAGUUUCUUUGGAUGCUUGCCCCACACUCUAUACAGGGCCUGCCUGUCCAUCAGGCAGACUGAAGCAGCCACUUUGGGUGGGAGAAUUCCAUAGGGUGAUGCUCCCAUGAGUGCCCUACCAGCGAUGGACUUUAGUAAUAUGACACCCCGAGCGAGGACAAAAUUGGGCACCCACCCCAUAAUAUUUCUUAUUUUCAAAUCAUUCCUUUUGGUACAGUUGCUUUUCUGCAGCCCCUUGCUUCAGCACCCUGCGCAGGGGAACUGCCCACAGCACCCUAAAGCCAGCGCUGUCCCUGCCACUGCCAGGGUUGAAUGGCUGUGAUGGCUUUUGGUGAGAUCAUGCGGGAAGCGCAUGUAGUUUAAUUGUGUAACAGUAAAAUGGGGAGGCCCAGACUGAUAUCUGUCUUGCGAGCCCAUGUCCUCUUAUACUUCACUGCCUGGGUAUUAACUGGUUGCUUAAAACCUUGUAAGUAAUUUGGGGAGGAUAUGCCUGAAGAAGAGUAAGCAUAAACUACGCGUUUAAAAUGAUCAAGUUAUAUAACUGCACAAUGACACAAUAGAGCUCAUUUAGGUUCUUCAGUUAGUUAAGUGAGAAGCAAAAGGAAGCUCGACUGACAGGCAUGAAUGAGCAAACACAAACACUCUCAGCACCCUAAUUUUAAUAAGCACUGUAAAUGGCCUCCCGUUUCUUUAUUUUGAGACACAGCAGGUUUGUAGCUCUUAACUAUUUAGCUGGAUAAGUUAUCUGCUCUCUUUAUUCCGUGGUCAAAUUGCUUGUAUAAUUCAUUUUAGUGUGUAACUUUAUAAACUUUACAUCUGAAAUCCUGGAAUCAAUUGCUGCUCGGUUUGCUUUUAAUUUAGAUUAUUACAAUAGACUCCACUUAACUUGGUGUCCUAUAUUUCCUCCCUUUCUUUCUUUAUUAGGUGAACAAGACAUGCAAGAGAGUUACUGGGAGAUACACAAAGACACACAGAGAGAGACCUCUUGCCAGCUACCUUGAUUUAUUGAUUAUUUCUCAGGGUGCAAAGCAUCAAGCAAUUAAACACUUGUGC